UAAUUGGCAUCAUGAAUACAUUAGCAUGGGAUAAUAGAAUAUGACAUUGGUCUUAUUUUGUUGGUUUCUAAGGCCAAAGUAAUGAUUGAUAGGGGAUAGUUGGGGCCGCUCGUAUUGAGUUGUCAGAGGUGAAAUUCUAGGAUUUACUCAAGACGAACUAAUGCGAAAAGCAUUCGGCAAGGAUGUUUUCAUUAAUCAAGAUCGAAAGUUGGGGGAUCGAAGAUGAUCAGAUACCGUCGUAGUCUCAACCAUAAACUAUGUCAACCGAGGAUCCGGUAGCGUUACAUGGAUGACCUUCCGGGCACUCUGUGAGAAAUCAUGAGUAUUUGGUAGUUUCGGGGGGGCGGCAACUCCCCGCCCGCCUUCCGGCGCCCAGACCAGGGUUUCACCGACAUAGACCACGCGGCGCUGAGCGCGGCGCCAA
rnacentral:rRNA from 1 species